CGCGGGAUGGAGCAGCUCGGUAGCUCGUCGGGCUCAUAACCCGAAGGUCGUAGGUUCAAAUCCUACUCCCGCAACCA
rnacentral:tRNA from 13 species